CUCGAAUCCUUGGAACCUAGGUGUGAGUGCUAUUUCAAUGCAACACACCUAUUCAAGGAUUCAAA
rfam:Callithrix jacchus chromosome X, whole genome shotgun sequence